UUAACAAAAACAUGUCUUUUUGAGUUAUUUUUAAAGUCUGACCUGCCCACUGAAUUUUUAAAUGGCCGCAGUAUUCUAACUGUGCAAAGGUAGCAUAAUCAUUAGUCUUUUAAUUGAAGGCUGGUAUGAACGGUUGGACGAGGUAUAAACUGUUUCAUAUAUAUUUAUAUUAGAAUUUUAUAUUUUAGUUAAAAAGCUAAAAUGUUAUUAAAAGACGAGAAGACCCUAUAAAUCUUUAUAUUUUAUAUUAUUUAAAUUUUUUGGAUUUGGUUUAUUUUUAUUAUAUAAAAUAUUUUGUUGGGGUGAUGUUAAAAUUUAAUGAACUUUUAAUUAUUUAAAUCAUUAAUUUAUGUAUUAUUGAUCCAUUAUUAGUGAUUAUCAGAUUAAGUUACUUUAGGGAUAACAGCGUAAUUUUUUUGGAGAGUUCAUAUCGAUAAAAAAGUUUGCGACCUCGAUGUUGGAUUAAGAUAUAGUUUUAGGUGUAGCAGCUUAAAUGAUAAGUCUGUUCGACUUUUAAAUUCUUACGUGAUCUGAGUUC
rnacentral:rRNA from 1 species